UACGGAGGGGGCAAGCGUUGUUCGGAUUUACUGGGCGUAAAGGGUGUCUAGGCGGACUUGUAAGUGAAAGGUGAAAUCCUACGGCUUAACCGUAGAACUGCCUUUCAAACUGUGAGUCUAGAGUAUAGGAGAAGUAAGUGGAAUUCUCGGUGUAGCGGUGAAAUGUGUAGAUAUCGAGAAGAACACCAGAGGUGAAAACGGCUUACUAUUCAAUUACUGACGCUGAAGCACGAAGGCUAGGGGAGCAAACAGG
rnacentral:rRNA from 1 species